GAAGCCAAUCAUUACUUAACUUACACAUGCAAGUCUCCGCCCCCCUGUGAAAACGCCCUUAACCCCCUUUAGGGACAAGGAGCCGGUAUCAGGCACGAAACUCUGCCCAAAACACCUAGCUUUGCCACAUCCACAAGGAAACUCAGCAGUAAUUAACAUUGAAUAUAAGCGAAAGCUGGAUUCAGUCAAAGUAAACAGAGCCGGCCAAUCUGGUGCCAGCCGCCGCGGUUACACCAUGUGGCUCAAAUUGUCUCUUGCCGGCGUAAAGCGUGAUUAAAGUUACUAAAAAUUAGGAUCAAACUAAAACUGAGCUGUGACACGCCUGUAAUUAAGAAGCCCAAAACGAAAGUUACCCUAACUCUAUCAACUUGA
rnacentral:rRNA from 1 species